rnacentral:rRNA from 1 species
AGGCUCAGGAUGAACGCGGCGGCGUGCUUAACACAUGCAAGUCGAACGGUGAAGCCCAGCUUGCUGGGUGGAUCAGUGGCGAACGGGUGAGUAACACGUGAGCAAUCUGCCCCUGACUCUGGGAUAAGCGCUGGAAACGGCGUCUAAUACCGGAUACGAGCUGCGGCCGCAUGGUCGGCAGUUGGAAAGAUUUUUCGGUCAGGGAUGAGCUCGCGGCCUAUCAGCUUGUUGGUGAGGUAAUGGCUCACCAAGGCGUCGACGGGUAGCCGGCCUGAGAGGGUGACCGGCCACACUGGGACUGAGACACGGCCCAGACUCCUACGGGAGGCAGCAGUGGGGAAUAUUGCACAAUGGGCGGAAGCCUGAUGCAGCAACGCCGCGUGAGGGAUGACGGCCUUCGGGUUGUAAACCUCUUUUAGCAGGGAAGAAGCGAAAGUGACGGUACCUGCAGAAAAAGCGCCGGCUAACUACGUGCCAGCAGCCGCGGUAAUACGUAGGGCGCAAGCGUUAUCCGGAAUUAUUGGGCGUAAAGAGCUCGUAGGCGGUCUGUCGCGUCUGCUGUGAAAUCCCGAGGCUCAACCUCGGGUCUGCAGUGGGUACGGGCAGACUAGAGUGCGGUAGGGGAGAUUGGAAUUCCUGGUGUAGCGGUGGAAUGCGCAGAUAUCAGGAGGAACACCGAUGGCGAAGGCAGAUCUCUGGGCCGUAACUGACGCUGAGGAGCGAAAGGGUGGGGAGCAAACAGGCUUAGAUACCCUGGUAGUCCACCCCGUAAACGUUGGGAACUAGUUGUGGGGUCCAUUCCACGGAUUCCGUGACGCAGCUAACGCAUUAAGUUCCCCGCCUGGGGAGUACGGCCGCAAGGCUAAAACUCAAAGGAAUUGACGGGGACCCGCACAAGCGGCGGAGCAUGCGGAUUAAUUCGAUGCAACGCGAAGAACCUUACCAAGGCUUGACAUAUAGAGGAAACGUCUGGAAACAGUCGCCCCGCAAGGUCUCUAUACAGGUGGUGCAUGGUUGUCGUCAGCUCGUGUCGUGAGAUGUUGGGUUAAGUCCCGCAACGAGCGCAACCCUCGUUCUAUGUUGCCAGCACGUAAUGGUGGGAACUCAUGGGAUACUGCCGGGGUCAACUCGGAGGAAGGUGGGGAUGACGUCAAAUCAUCAUGCCCCUUAUGUCUUGGGCUUCACGCAUGCU